AGUGAACGCUGGCGGUAGGCCUAACACAUGCAAGUCGAACGGCAGCACAGUAAGAGCUUGCUCUUACGGGUGGCGAGUGGCGGACGGGUGAGGAAUACAUCGGAAUCUACUUUUUCGUGGGGGAUAACGUAGGGAAACUUACGCUAAUACCGCAUACGACCUACGGGUGAAAGCAGGGGAUCUUCGGACCUUGCGCGAUUGAAUGAGCCGAUGUCGGAUUAGCUAGUUGGCGGGGUAAAGGCCCACCAAGGCGACGAUCCGUAGCUGUUCUGAGAGGAUGAUCAGCCACACUGGAACUGAGACACGGUCCAGACUCCUACGGGAGGCAGCAGUGGGGAAUAUUGGACAAUGGGCGCAAGCCUGAUCCAGCCAUACCGCGUGGGUGAAGAAGGCCUUCGGGUUGUAAAGCCCUUUUGUUGGGAAAGAAAAGCAGCAGGUUAAUACCCCGCUGUUCUGACGGUACCCAAAGAAUAAGCACCGGCUAACUUCGU
rnacentral:rRNA from 1 species